AUGUAGAUUGACCUGAUUUGAACCUGGCUGUGUCUUCAUCUUUUUAUGAUUUAAAGGGCUAGAGUUCAUUAUAUAUCUAAAGGGGGUGCAACACUGUGGCCACCAGGGAUUUCUCCUUUGCACACAAACAAAAAAAGGUGUAAAAUCUUUUCAGAAUUUUGGGUGAGGAAGGGAAGAUCAGAUUUGGAGAUGUUCACCACUCAGUCAGUAGCUCCACUUGCUUUUACCCUUAUCUUUUAGCACUGGUUAAGGCUCAUUUGGAGGAGUUCACCUUUUGAUAGGGAUCUCCUGGUGAAAAGCAGUCUUGUCACAUUACUUCCUUUCUCUUUACCUGUGGUUACUGUUCAUUCCAUCUCCCUUUAAUCCCUUUCCUGAUAAAUAGGGACCUAUUAUGAUUCCAGUGACAAGUAUUUCCAUUGUGCAGCCACACAAGCCUUUCAUCACUCAACUGAGUCUUGCAAAAUUCUGCUUGCUUACUCUUGCAGCUGUUUGUUUUUGUUUCAUCAUCAUUCACCAUGGUAGAGGGCAGAUAAGUAAACUUUGUGCCUGGAUUGGUAAAUUUUUAUGCCAAAUUUACUAGCCUUUCACUCCGUUCCACGUAUUCAAGACUUUCCCUUACUGAUCUCCUCUGAAUAGGGUCGGGCAUUUACUGGGUGUUUUCACUUGUUCCGGUGGUCUUUCAGAGGCUGCUGAAGGGAGAGGAUGUAUGAUACAGGUCAACUGGUGAAGUAGUGAGCCAUAGUAACUGACUUGUAGACUGAGCGCCUCUGUCAGAUAAGGAGAAGAAACAGGAGGAUUAAAGGAAGACCUAUUCCAGGAGGUGCUGCAAUCUUCUAAUUGUAAGCAGAGAGGCUAUCAAGGAGAAACUGCAUAUGGAUAGCCAGGAGAGGAAAUGGGCAGGUUACAGCUGCUUCAGGACCAGACAGACAUCUUGAGGUUCCUGAUUGAACUGCAGAUGGAACACAUCUUUGCUUGCCUCCCCCUGCAGCUCAUGCGGAACUGCCUUCCAUGCCCUCCCCACAUUUCCCAUCCACUCCACAUUCCUUGCAUGUUCCUGGGCCGUCUCAGUACCCCAUGCACUUCACUCUGAGGGACAUGUAUCACAGUGAAAGCUGGACAUAUACCCAACUGUGAGAGCCUCAUUUGGAAAUGUGUUCUUCAUUUUCAUGUCCCUUUCAGAAUGUAGUUAUGUUUGUAUCACUGUUUGAAUAAAAAUAUACUUAUUUAAAGCUAA